rnacentral:misc_RNA from 1 species
UGCUUCCAUGGUUUUAAUAUCUGCAGAACGAACAGGUACAAUAUUAUUAAGAAUCACUAGAAAAGAACAGGAAAGGAUAAAACAGAUAUGUGACAAAAUCUUUAGAAAUUAAAAGCCUAAUGCUUAUAUUGUGGACAGAAUCACAGAAACAAAACUCUAUCAUGCAAUUCAGCAAUGCCAAGUAUUAAAAGCAACAGAGAGUUAAUGACAAAACCAAAUUUCAAAAACAAUACUGAGAUGAAAACAAACACAAGCCAGAGGAAAAAGAAUCUGACAAGUUUGAAGAUGAACAUUUAUCAAUAACUUAAACACCUUGCACAUGAAAAUUUUCAAUAUUAAAUGCUUAUAUUUUGUAUACUUUGAACACCCUGUACAUGGAAA